rnacentral:rRNA from 1 species
AUACGGAGGCUGCAAGCGUUACUCGGAAUCACUGGGCGUAAAGGACGCGUAGGCGGAUUGGAAAGUCAGAUGUGAAAUCCUACAGCUUAACUGUAGAACUGCAUUUGAAACUUCUAAUCUGGAGUAUGGGAGGGGGAGAUGGAAUUAGUGGUGUAGGGGUAAAAUCCGUAGAUAUCACUAGGAAUACCGAAAGCGAAGGCGAUCUCCUGGAACAUAACUGACGCUAAGGCGUGAAAGCGUGGGGAGCAAACGGGAUUAGAAACCCUAGUAGUCC